UACGUAGGGGGCGAGCGUUGUCCGGAUUUAUUGGGCGUAAAGAGCGUGUAGGCGGUUCGGUAAGUCUGUCGUGAAAUCCUGAGGCUCAACCUCGGACGUGCGAUGGAUACUGCCGGGCUAGAGGGUGGUAGAGGCGAGUGGAAUUCCCGGUGUAGCGGUGAAAUGCGCAGAUAUCGGGAGGAACACCAGUAGCGAAGGCGGCUCGCUGGGCCACACCUGACGCUGAGACGCGAAAGCUAGGGGAGCGAACAGG
rnacentral:rRNA from 1 species